rnacentral:tRNA from 1 species
GCGCCUGUAGCUCAAUUGGAUAGAGCGCUCGGCUACGGACCGGGAGGUUCUGGGUUCAACUCCUAGCAGGCGCG